UAUUUUUUCUCUUGUAAAUAGAAAUGUUUGUGGUUGUUGAUAUUUAAAUUCAUAAUUAAGAAAAAGAACUUUAUAUUUAAAAGAAAGCAUUACUAUAAAGGCUACAGAAAGGCUUGGGAAGGCUAGCAUGAUCUGUUACAAAAUGGAAGUGAAUGGAACAAGGAAAGUAAUAUAUGGAAUGUAUACUAUGAUAAUGCAAGUGGAAAGAAUAGCAACAAAAAACAAAAUCCAGAAAUUACAGCCAGGGAUCACCAUAAAGCUACCUUAA
rnacentral:lncRNA from 1 species